UACGAAGGAUGCAAGCGUUAUCCGGAUUCAUUGGGUUUAAAGGGAGCGUAGGUGGCCUUAUAAGUCAGUGGUGAAAUCUCUGGGCUUAACCCAGAAAUUGCCAUUGAUACUGUAGGGCUUGAGUAUAGUUGCCGUUGGCGGAAUAUGACAUGUAGCGGUGAAAUGCAUAGAUAUCGUCAAGAACACCGAUAGCGAAGGCAGCUUACUGGGCUGUAACUGACGCUGAUGCACGAAAGUGUGGGGAUC
rnacentral:rRNA from 1 species